rnacentral:rRNA from 1 species
UACGUAGGGACCGAGCGUUGUCCGGAAUCAUUGGGCGUAAAGAGCGUGUAGGCGGUUUGGUAGGUCCGCUGUGAAAACUCGAGGCUCAACUUCGAGACGCCGGUGGAAACCAUCAGACUAGAGUCCGGAAGAGGAGAGUGGAAUUCCUGGUGUAGCGGUGAAAUGCGCAGAUAUCAGGAAGAACACCCGUGGCUAAGGCGGCUCUCUAGUACGGUACUGACGCUGAGACGCGAAAGCGUGGGGAGCGAACAGG